ensembl:snoRNA
AAAGCAGGUUGCAAUUACAGUGCUUCAUUUUGUGGAAGUACUGACAUUACCCUGCUGAAAGAAAAUGUUUGUCAAUCAUUUUUGAUUUUGCCUUUAUGAGGGUAAAAUCAUGACAGAUUGAUAUGGACAAUU